rnacentral:rRNA from 1 species
UACGAAGGGGGCUAGCGUUGCUCGGAAUCACUGGGCGUAAAGCGCACGUAGGCGGCUUUUUAAGUCGAGGGGUGAAAUCCUGGAGCUCAACUCCAGAACUGCCUUUGAUACUGAGAGCUUGAGUCCGGGAGAGGUGAGUGGAACUGCGAGUGUAGAGGUGAAAUUCGUAGAUAUUCGCAAGAACACCAGUGGCGAAGGCGGCUCACUGGCCCGGUACUGACGCUGAGGCACGAAAGCGUGGGGAGCAAACAGG